rnacentral:rRNA from 1 species
GGGUACGGGNAUUAGGGUUCGAUUCCGGAGAGGGAGCCUGAGAACGGCUACUACANUCCNAGGAAGGCAGCAGGCGCGCAAAUUACCCAAUCCCGACACGGGGAGGUAGUGACAAGAAAUAACAAACCAGGGCUCUUACGAGUCUUGUUAUUGGAAUGAGUACGAUUUAAAUCUCCCMWARMGAGGAACAWUUGGAGGGCAAGUCUGGUGCCAGCAGCCGCGGUAAUUCCAGCUCCAAUAGCGUAUAUUAAAGUUGUUGCAGUUAAAAAGCUCGUAGUUGAACUUCAGGCCUGUCCAGACGGUCCGCCUUAAUUGGUGUGUACUGUCCUUGGGUGGGUCCUGCCUUCUGGCGAAGCGGCAUGGCCUUAAUUGGUUGUGUCGGGGAACCANGACUUUUACUGUGAAAAAAUUGGAGUGUUCAAAGCANGCAAAUAUGCUCGAAUACAUUANCAUGGAAUAAUGGAAUANGACGAUGGUNNCNANUUUUGNUGGGU